CCUACGGGUGGCAGCAGUGGGGAAUAUUGGGCAAUGGGCGCAAGCCUGACCCAGCAACGCCGCGUGAGGGAAGAAGGCUUUCGGGUUGUAAACUUCUUUUCUCAGGGACGAAGAAAGUGACGGUCCCUGAGGAAUAAGUCACGGCUAACUACGUGCCAGCAGCCGCGGUAAUACGUAGGUGGCACGCGUUAUCCGGAUUUACUGGGUGUAAUGGGCGUGUAGGCGGGAAGGCAAGUCAGAUGUGAAGACCAUGGGCUCAACCUGUGGCCUGCAUUUGAAACUGUUAUGCUUGAGUACUGGAGAGGCAGGCGGAAUUCCUGGUGUAGCGGUGAAAUGCGUAGAUAUUAGGAGGAACACCAGUGGCGAAGGCGGCCUGCUGGACAGCAACUGACGCUGAGGCGCGAAAGCGUGGGUAGCAAACAGGAUUAGAUACCCUAGUAGUC
rnacentral:rRNA from 1 species